rnacentral:lncRNA from 1 species
GACUUGAGGCGACUUUGUAACAAUGUUUGACCUGAAGAAACGUUACAGUCUGACUGUGAAGGACAGCCGCGACAGGGAGGAGUUCAGACGGGCUGCGGUCAAACGGAAGGUCAAAGGUGCAGACUGCCUCGUCUCACACACAGGAGAGCCUGAUGCGGCUGCUGGAGAUCUAUGAGAUGCUUGGGGAGGAGGUGGUCAAUCCGACCAACGAGCUCCUCAGGGAAGGUCGUCUGCUCAAGCUUGCUGCCAGGAACACCUCCACCAGGGAGAGGCACCUAUUCCUGGUGUCAGUGGAGCUGAUGGCAGUAUCCAGUCAGAUCUGGAGCACCUGGGCCCAGCGCAGGAUAUAAAAGGCCCAGCAUCUGCCAUUUCAGGGCUCUCUCUCCCUGCCAGAGCCAGAAAACCCCGUUGUUUUGUCUUUUGUUUUCAUAAUUUGCUUCACAACACCUUACAUCACAUUAUCCACACACAUCAGCAUGCACAUUACUGAUCACUGAUUAUCACGUCUCAUAUUUUUACUUCGCAAUUUAUGUUCUUUCUGGAAAUAAAUCGCUCG